rnacentral:rRNA from 1 species
UACGAAGGGUGCAAGCGUUACUCGGAAUUACUGGGCGUAAAGCGUGCGUAGGCGGUUUGUUAAGUCCGCUGUGAAAGCCCUGGGCUCAACCUGGGAAUUGCAGUGGAUACUGGCAAGCUAGAGUGCGGUAGAGGAUGGUGGAAUUCCCGGUGUAGCGGUGAAAUGCGUAGAGAUCGGGAGGAACACCAGUGGCGAAGCCGACACGCUGGGCCGUACCUGACACUGAUGCGCGACAGCAUGGGGAGCAACCAGG